GAUGAACGCUGGCGGCGUGCUUAACACAUGCAAGUCGAACGGAAAGGCUCCUGCUUGCAGGGGUACUCGAGUGGCGAACGGGUGAGUAUCACGUGGGUGAUCUGCCCUGCGCUUCGGGAUAAGCCUGGGAAACUGGGUCUCAUACCGGAUAGGACGAUGGUUUGGAUGCCAUUGUGGAAAGUUUUUUCGGUGUGGGAUGAGCUCGCGGCCUAUCAGCUUGUUGGUGGGGUAAUGGCCUACCAAGGCGUCGACGGGUAGCCGGCCUGAGAGGGUGUACGGCCACAUUGGGACUGAGAGACGGCCCAGACUCCUACGGGAGGCAGCAGUGGGGAAUAUGACACAAUGGGCGCAAGCCUGAUGCAGCGACGCCGCGUGGGUGAUGACGGCCUUCGGGUUGUAAACUCCUUUCGCUAGGGACGAAGCGCAAGUGACGGUACCUAGAGAAGAGGCACCGGCUAACUACGUG
rnacentral:rRNA from 1 species